rnacentral:misc_RNA from 1 species
CCAAGAGGAUCGUGAGGCGCCAGAGAGGGGUAGGACACCUAACCCGCUCGAUCGGUUGGACCCGUACCCACAAUAGCAAGCGAGAGCCAGUCUCUCCAGGGGGGCUUUCGGCGGCUCUGCGGCCGUCUGCCCAUAGACGGGUCCUUCCCUUUAGGCGGGGCUUCUCUCGACGUCCUCGCUUUCCACAACCUUCAACCCUUGAUUACCCUAGCCUUUGUUGCCUCGGCGGGUCCGCCCGCCAGAGGACACAACCCAAACCACUGUUGUAAACGGCGAAGUCUGAGCUACAAAGCAAUUGUUUA